CUUAAGAAAUGUAUAAAAACUCCAGAAAUCCCUUCUAAACAUGUUAGGAACUGGGUCCCCAAAGUCUUGGAACAGCGACGACAAGGCUUGGAAACAUACUUACAGGCUGUCAUUUUAGAAAAUGAAGAACUUCCCAAACUGUUUCUUGAUUUCCUAAAUGUGCGACACUUGCCCUCUCUACCAAAGGCAGAAAGUUGUGGAUCUUUUGAUGAAACAGAGUCUGAAGAGUCAAGCAAACUGUCCCACCAGCCUGUGCUGCUGUUCCUCAGGGAUCCAUACAUCUUGCCUGCAGCCAGCGAAUACAACUCGGUGAGAUGGAUCCUCACUGCUUGAGUCCUGGAGGAGAAGCAAUGGCACUGUUUUCUAACAGACAACACUUCCCAUCUGAACAGAGAUCAAGCACACUCUGUUAUAGCCAGAUGACAUCUUUAUAUUUGGCUUAAAAGAAAGAAGACCCAGUUUAAAGGAAAUAAAAUUGAGACAUACCUCUCCUGUUGCUAGAGCAACAAAAUUUUCCACUGUCUUGGGCACA
rnacentral:sRNA from 1 species